UGGGGAAUAUUGGACAAUGGGCGAAAGCCUGAUCCAGCCAUGCCGCGUGUGUGAAAAAGGCCUUUUGGUUGUAAAGCACUUUAAGUGGGGAGGAAAAGCUUAUGGUUAAUACCCAUAAGCCCUGACGUUACCCACAGAAUAAGCACCGGCUAACUCUGUGCCAGCAGCCGCGGUAAUACAGAGGGUGCAAGCGUUAAUCGGAAUUACUGGGCGUAAAGCGCGCGUAGGUGGUUAUUUAAGUCAGAUGUGAAAGCCCCGGGCUUAACCUGGGAACUGCAUCUGAUACUGGAUAACUAGAGUAGGUGAGAGGGGAGUAGAAUUCCAGGUGUAGCGGUGAAAUGCGUAGAGAUCUGGAGGAAUACCGAUGGCGAAGGCAGCUCCCUGGCAUCAUACUGACACUGAGGUGCGAAAGCGUGGGUAGCAAACAGGAUUAGAUACCCUGGUAGUCCACGCCGUAAACGAUGUCUACCAGUCGUUGGGUCUUUUAAAGACUUAGUGACGCAGUUAACGCAAUAAGUAGACCGCCUGGGGAGUACGGCCGCAAGGUUA
rnacentral:rRNA from 1 species